GGCGGCGCCGGCAAUGGCGCCUGGACUGCUCCUGAAUCCGGCGAGAUGGCACCUUCAGCGCGAGCUUGUAACUCAAGCGAGGGCAUCAGUGCGGCUGGAGAUUGGCCUGGCUGGGGUUCCUAAAUCUGGAGGGCACCGCGUGAUGCUGGUUUCACAGAGCAGCGUUCACCUCCCGCUCUCUUCGGUGGAAGGAUAACGGGCCGGGACCCCUCAAGCCCAACAAACGCC
rnacentral:SRP_RNA from 11 species